CCAGGAUGGUCUCCAUCUCCUAACUUCGUGAAUGGCCCGCCUUGGCCUCCCAGAGUGCUGUGAUUACAGGCGUGAGCCACCACACCCGGCCCCAAAGCUAGGUAAUUUAUAAAGAAAAAGAGGUUUAUUUGGUUCACGGUUCUUCAGGCUAUACAAGAAGCAUGGUACCCAUCAUCUGCUUCUGAUGAGGGCCUCAGGAAUCUUCCACUCAUGGCAGAAGGCAAAGGGGAAUCAGUGUGUACAGAGAUCACAUGGCAAGAGCAAAAGCAAGAAGACAGGAGGAGGUGCCAGUCUCUUUUUAACAAGUAGCUCUCACAGGAACUAAUAGAGCGAGAACUCACUUACUACCUUGAGCAUGGCACCAAGCCAUGAGGGAUCCACCCCAUGGCCCAAACACCUUCCACCAGGCCCUGCCACCAACAUGUUGGGUAUCAAAUGUUAACAUGAGACUUGGCAGGGCCAAACAAACCAUAUCCAAACCACAGCAAUGGGGAAGAUCGUCCUGGACCAAAAGAAAAGUUGUUCUGGAAACUGCAGCCAUGAGAAGCCCUAUACAUUGGCAAGGUAGUUAUCCUGAUCUUUGAAAGUUAUUUCAUCCCCUCUGACGCCAGUGCUGAUAUUCUCAAGAACUCAUGUUCCCAAGAGCUUCUGGUUAUACAGGUCUAGAGAAAGCACAAAUGGUGUGAACCUUCUGGAAAGGUACACAUGUGGGAAAAAGUCUUUAAAAUAUUCAUCUUAAAGGUCACAGGAGGCCGAGUGUGGUGGCUCAUGCCUGUAAUCCCAGCACUUUGGGAGUCCAGGGCGGGCAAAUCACGAGAUCAAGAUAUUGAGACCAUCCUGGCGUGGUGGCAGGCGUGUGUAAUCCCAGCUACUUGGGAGGCUGAGGCAGGAGAAUCACUUGAACCCAGGAGGUAGAGGUUGCAGUGAGCCCAGAUCAUGCCACUGCACUCCAGCCUGGGAGAUGGAGCAAGACUCUGUCUCAAAAAAAUAAAUAAAAAACAAAAGAAACAAUAUUUAUAUGAUCUAAAGUAUCUCCCCCAAAAGCUACUUGUUAAUUACAAAGUGUAAAAUAGUAACUUUUUAAUAGAGAACACUGGCAGACAGCACCUUAACCAAUGAUCAUAGUUAACACCAUUGGUUACUGGGGCAAAUUAACACUGUGCCUCCUAAUGAGGCACUGAGGACACAACCUGGCUUCUGUUGUAUUUCUCCUGCCAAAAACACAGAACCCAAAUCUAAUCACAAAAAAAAAAAAAUAGGGCAAACUCAAAUUAAAAAAUAUUCGACAGAACCAUCAGUUUACAACAGGGGUGUCCAAUCUUCUGGCUUCCCUGGGCCACAUUGGAAGGAUUGUCUUGGGCCACACAUAAAAUACACUAAUACUAACAAUAGCUGAUGAGCAAAAAAAAGAAAAGAAAAGAAAAAUCGCAAAAAAGUAUCAUGUUUUAAGAAAGUUUGCGAAUUUGUGUUGGGCCACAUUCAAAGCCAUCCUGGGCUGCAUGCGACCCAUGGGCCGUGGAUUGGGCAAGUUUGGUUUUCACUCUUUAAAAAUGUCAAGGUUAUGAAAGCAAAGACAGACUGAGGAACAAUUACAAUGAAAAGAGACUAAAAAGAUUACGACUAAAGACAAUGUAUGAUUCUAGGUUGGAUUCUGGACCAGAAAAUAGGGCACUAGUAGGAAAAUUGGCAAUAUUUGAUCAAUAGAUCAAUAUUUGCAAUAUUGGCAAUGUCUGGUCGAUAGAUUACAGUAUUGGUCAAUAUGUUAAAUUCUCUGACUUUGGUAAUUAUAUUGUGGAUAUGUAAGAUAACGUCCUUGUUUUUAAGUAAUAUAUACUGAAGUACUUACAGGUAAAGAAACAAUGACUGCAACUUACUCUCGAGCAGAGCAGAAAAGACACCACAAAAAGUGAAAAAGCAAGUGUGGUGAAAUGUUAACAUUUGGUGAAUCUGGGUGAAGGAUAUAUAAAAUUUCUUCACACAAUUUUUGCAACUUUUUUGUAAAUCUGAAAUUAUUUCAAAAUGAAAAUUUCUUUAAAAGUCCACUUCAGGUUCUUUAUUAUUUUUCUUAUGUCACUGAAAAGGGUUGACUAGUGUCUCCCCAAAAUUGAUGUCCACCUAGAACCUCAGAAUGUAAUCUUAUUUGGAAAUAGGGUCUUUGCAGAUGUACUUUGUUAAGAUGAGGACAUACUGGGUUAGGGCAGGCCCUGGUAUCCUUAGAAGACAUACACAUACAGAGAAAAAGGCCAUGUGAAGAUGGAGGCAGAGACAAGUGAUGCAGCUACAGGCCAAAGAAAACCAAGGAUUGCCGGGAACCACCAGAAACUACAAAGAAACAAGGGUGGACUUAGAGAAAGCAUGGCCCUGCUGUCAUCUGGAUUUCAGACUUCUAGAUUCCAGAAAUGUGAAGGAGUAAUUAUUUGUUGUUUUAAGCUACCAAGUUUGUGGUAAUUUGUGACAGCAGCCCUAGGAAACCCUAGGAAUUACAGUCACCCACUUUUAAAACAAUGGCGCUCUGGUCUACAAGACGCCAUAGUCUGGCAUCCUCAAGUGUCUGAAGAUGCUAAUAAUGAUAACGUUUAUUGGACAUUUACACACCUAACACUGUGUUAAGUGUAUUAUAUACAUUAUUUCCUUUAACCUUCAUAUCUGAAUACACUAGGCUUAAUUACUAACUCAUUACAGAAGGGAACAUGGAAGCUUAGAGUGGUUAAGUAAGAUGUGUAAGAUUGCACAGCUAAUAGAGGAUGUCAGCAUUGAACACCAUCUCUUGGGCCUCUUCCUCUUUGUCUUUCUUUUUUUCUUUUACCCUGAAACAGGGUCUUGCUGCUGUUGCCCAGGUUGGAAUGCAGUGGAACAAUCAUAGCAUACUACAGUCUUGAACUCCCGGGCUCAAGCGAUCCUCCUGUAUCAGCCUCCCAAGUAGUUGGGUCUACAGGUGCACCACUAUGCCAGGCUUCCUCUUUGUCCUUUAAAACCUUCUCCCAUCCAAAGUGCAGCCCACAUUCCCUGUCCUCUAAAAAUUUUCCAGGGCCUUCUAGGCCACAGUGGUCCAUCUUUCUUCUUUAAACUUGGCACUCAUUGUACUGUUGCUUGGCUCUAAAAUAUACUGAGGAUUAUUCUGGAUGUCAUUUGGCUUUUUAAAACAUUGUCUUUGCCUCCAACUGAAUAUUAAUUACAUGCAGGUAUGUGCCACGUAUCUAAGCAUUGAGACUUCACCUACCCUUAUUUCUCUAGGUAGAAACCUAUCAUUAUAGUCCUCAUCAGAUUAUAUGCAAGUAGAUGCUUGACAUUUGCAAUUUGACUGUUUUCAAAUAAGUUGGAAGUUUAUCUGAGACUCUUGAUUUCAAUUGCGUGUGUAAAAGAAGUCAGCUAGGGGCUGAGAGCCCGGCUAAUCAAUUUAAAUGUGGCUUUAUUUGUUCAUUGUUGGUCUAUGUUGUAUUAAUUUUUGUUAAAUGACUAAAAUUUGGUUUGAAAGGUCCAUGAAAAUAACACAUCUGGGGCAGAAAAUCAUUUUGGGCAAGAAAUUAAAUUUUGUAAUUUAGGGUGGAAAACUGAGCCUCACAGUGAGAUUUAUGUGCCGGGCCCUCUGUACAAAGAUAUGAUGUGUCAUGUGCUCUGUUAAGUGCUCUAGCAGUGUAAAAGUCACUGAAGUGAGAAAUUCGUUUGAAAAGGUUUAGCUAUAUGGUGGUUCACUACUGAUUUGGGGCACAGAAAACAAUCUGAUUUAACUGACCCAGGAGCCUAGUCAAACAAUGCCACAUUCACAGAUUUGGUGAUUCACAUUGUCUUGGAAUAUUCCGUGAGAUAUCAGGUGUCAAGAGCCAAGUAAGUAACAUCAAUGAGCAAAAGGGCAGAAUUCAAGAAAAUAGCAUCAGCACACUGAUACCUGCCAACUGACACCUGCACCUGGCUUCAGUGUUACACAAUUAACAGGGGGUGGAGGGAAUCGUCACGCACUGCAGCAUGCAGCCUCACCCGGAUGGCUACUGGAUGCUAGUUAACUGUGGCCUGGAGUAUUGUGGAUCUCAUGUUUUUUUUGUUGUUGUUGUUGUUGUUGUUUUAAGUCUCGCUCUGUAGCCCAAGUUGAAGUGCAAUGGCACGAUCUUGGCUCUAUGCAACCUCCGCCUCCUGGGUUCAAGUGAUUCUCCUGACUCAGCCUCCCGAGUAGCUGGGAUUACAGGCAUGUGCCACCACGCCCGGCUUUUUUUUUUUUUUUCAACAGUCUUGCUCUGU
rnacentral:lncRNA from 1 species